rnacentral:ncRNA from 1 species
GCAAGCCGUAUACACGGAGACGUGUACGUACGGUUUAGGGGCAGGUAUGCGGAAACCUGCCGCCGUAAGGCGGUAAGGCGCUGCAUACCGAGCCUAC